AUUGAACGCUGGCGGCAGGCCUAACACAUGCAAGUCGAGCGAGCGGCGGACGGGUGAGUAAUGUCUGGGAAACUGCCUGUUGGCGGGGGUUAACUACUGGAAACGGUAGCUAAUACCGCAUACCAUCAGAUGUGCCCAGAUGGGAUUAGCUAGUCGGUGGGGUAACGGCUCACCUAGGCGACGAUCCCUAGCUGGUCUGUGAGGAUGCACAGCCGCACUGGAACUGAGACACGGUCCGGGCGCCUACGGGAGGCAGCAGUGGGGAAUAUUGAACAAUGGGAGCAAGCCUGAUGCAGCCAUGCCGCGUGUGUGAAGAAGGCCUGCGGGUUGUAAAGCACUGUCAGCGGGGAGGCGUUACCCGCAGAAGAAGCACCGGCUAACUCCGGGCCAGCAGCCGCGGUAAUAC
rnacentral:rRNA from 1 species